AGAGUUUGACCUUGCUCAGAUUGAACGCUGGCGGCAUGCCUUACACAUGCAAGUCGAACGGCAGCGCGGGCUUCGGCCUGGCGGCGAGUGGCGAACGGGUGAGUAAUACAUCGGAACGUGCCCUGUUGUGGGGGAUAACUAGUCGAAAGAUUAGCUAAUACCGCAUACGACCUGAGGGUGAAAGCGGGGGACCGCAAGGCCUCGCGCAAUAGGAGCGGCCGAUGUCUGAUUAGCUAGUUGGUGGGGUAAAGGCCUACCAAGGCGACGAUCAGUAGCUGGUCUGAGAGGACGAUCAGCCACACUGGGACUGAGACACGGCCCAGACUCCUACGGGAGGCAGCAGUGGGGAAUUUUGGACAAUGGGGGCAACCCUGAUCCAGCAAUGCCGCGUGUGUGAAGAAGGCCUUCGGGUUGUAAAGCACUUUUGUCCGGAAAGAAAUCGCGCUGGCUAAUACCUGGCGUGGAUGACGGUACCGGAAGAAUAAGCACCGGCUAACUACGUGCCAGCAGCCGCGGUAAUACGUAGGGUGCGAGCGUUAAUCGGAAUUACUGGGCGUAAAGCGUGCGCAGGCGGUUUUGUAAGACAGGCGUGAAAUCCCCGAGCUCAACUUGGGAAUGGCGCUUGUGACUGCAAGGCUAGAGUAUGUCAGAGGGGGGUAGAAUUCCACGUGUAGCAGUGAAAUGCGUAGAGAUGUGGAGGAAUACCGAUGGCGAAGGCAGCCCCCUGGGACGUCACUGACGCUCA
rnacentral:rRNA from 1 species